rnacentral:rRNA from 1 species
CCGCGGUAAUACGUAGGGUGCGAGCGUUAAUCGGAAUUACUGGGCGUAAAGCGUGCGCAGGCGGUUAUGUAAGACAGAUGUGAAAUCCCCGGGCUCAACCUGGGAACUGCGUUUGUGACUGCAUAACUAGAGUACGGCAGAGGGAGGUGGAAUUCCGCGUGUAGCAGUGAAAUGCGUAGAUAUGCGGAGGAACACCGAUGGCGAAGGCAGCCUCCUGGGCCAGUACUGACGCUCAUGCACGAAAGCGUGG